rnacentral:tRNA from 1 species
UCCCUGGUGGUCUAGUGGUUAGGAUUCGGCCCUGUCACAGCUGUGGCCCAGGCUCGAACCCUGGUCUGGGAA